AGUGAAAUAGCUGGGUCACAUGAUGAGUUUAUGUUUAAUUUUUUAAAGAAACUGCCAAACUGUUUUCCAAAGUGGCUGUACCAUUUACAUUCCUACCAGCAAU
rnacentral:pre_miRNA from 1 species